AUCGAUCCUGGCCAAAAUCGAACCAACGUCCAGCCAAUCACGUGGCGCUCCUCCGGUCAUGUGACGCAGACGGUUCACCUCACAAGACCGGGGUCAACCACGGCUACCAGCAUGAACGACGGCGCUUCACAACACCGUCUGAACUGACCAGUCUGGUGAAAUUCUGGACUGGAUGGGAGACUCUACCAAGAACUCUCUCCUCAGAAGUAGUGAAUGGCAGAUACCAGGCAGCCUCCACCUGCUAUGAGACCUUACAUUCCCAGGACAUUACAAGGACCUUUGUAGCGAGGACCCGAUGCCAGGUCCAGUGGACAGACUUCAGACGUCUCUGUGUGUCCGGUCCUGUCUCUGGUUGCCUGGUUACAGACGCUGCUGCACCCGCACGUUUAAAAAUGUCUACACCUGAAACUCCACCACGUCUAAAGAAGCAAAAACGUUUGCAAAUGUACAGACUGGAGUGGGAAGAGUGGAACCCCUGGCAAUGGAUACAAGGCAAACUGUGUUUUCUGUUGCUCAUGGACUGGCUGAAGUAAGGCAGCAUCAGGAGACAAACAUGGAGGAAAUAUGAGAACAGAGAGAACCCAACCAGCAGGUCACAGUUUAUCAUCAUCUAAUCAUCUCCUCAAGUCGAUAUGGUCCCUCUCUAUCUCCCCACACAUCCACCAACCACUGGAACACAUCUCCAAAGUUCUGCUGGUCCAGCUCAGCUUCCCCUCAGAAGAAGUGCCGCUACCUGCCAGAUGAAGGAGCCUUUUGAGAGGCAGCUGGCAUCGUGAUUGGACUGUACUUUGGUCUGUUCCAAUCCAGCUUCAGCUCCAGAGACGGCAGGCGGGACGAGUCAACGGAGGCCGGGUGGACGAAGGCAUGCAGCUGAGUACAAUCCAGAAAACAACAGAGGAGGAGUGCAGCGGCCCAGAGCCAGAACAACCAGAGUAGCAUCACUAAAGAACUACAGACUCUUCACAACCUGCUCAAACUCUUGGUACAGGACCUCACCACACGGGUCAAGAAGGUUUCCAUCUCAUUUCUACUCUGAAGCUCACCUUCUCCUGCUCAAACUGCUGACAAAUGUUUCUGCU